GUCGCUGCAAAUUCAGCGAUACGGGUUUUGCAGCCCGGCUCAAAGAAGGCGCACAGCGCCGCGUAAGCGGUUUUUGU
rnacentral:sRNA from 1 species